AAUGUUCAAGACUAAGCCAUGCACGUCUAAGUACAAACUAAAUGAUGGUGAAACUGCAAAUGGCUCAUUACAACGGUUAUGAUGUACCCGGGAGUUCCGAUGGAUAUUUCCAGUAACACUAGAACUAAUACAUGUCCCUGCGUUUAUUAGUUUCGCACAGUCCGUCGCUGAGUCAUGGUAAACAGUUGAUCGACUCGACGUCCCGGAACAGUUUCCGCCCCAUCAGCUUCGAUGGUUGGGUAUUGGCCUACCAUUGCAACAACGGGUAACGAGGAAUUAGGGUUUGAUUUCGGAGAGGGAGCCUGAGAAACGGCUACCACAUCUACGGAUGGCAGCAGGCGCGCAAAUUACCCAAUGCAGACACUGUGAGGUAGUGACGAGAAAUAAUAAAGCGGGACUUCUGUUUCGCUAUUAUAAUGAGGAAUAACCAAAGGUCAUUCCGAUUAGCAACUGAUGGGAAAGUCUGGUGCCAGCAGCCGCGGUAAUACCAGCGUCAGUAG
rnacentral:rRNA from 1 species